rnacentral:rRNA from 1 species
GACGAACGCUGGCGGCGUGCUUAACACAUGCAAGUCGAACGAUGAAGCCGGAGCUUGCUCUGGUGAAUUAGUGGCGAACGGGUGAGUAACACGUGAGUAACCUGCCCUUGACUCUGGGAUAACUGCGGGAAACUGUAGCUAAUACCGGAUACGACCCUCGGAGGCAUCUCCUGGGGGUGGAAAGAAUUUCGAUCAAGGAGGGACUCGCGGCCUAUCAGCUAGUUGGUGAGGUAAAGGCUCACCAAGGCGACGACGGGUAGCCGGCCUGAGAGGGUGACCGGCCACACUGGGACUGAGACACGGCCCAGACUCCUACGGGGGGCAGCAGUGGGGAAUAUUGCACAAUGGGCGCAAGCCUGAUGCAGCAACGCCGCGUGAGGGAUGACGGCCUUCGGGUUGUAAACCUCUUUUAGCAGGGAAGAAGCGAAAGUGACGGUACCUGCAGAAAAAGCACCGGCUAACUACGUGCCAGCCGCCGCAGUAA